rnacentral:lncRNA from 1 species
AAAUACAAAUUCAAAAUAAAUAAAUAAAAAUUACAUUAAUUAAUUUAAAAAUUACAAAAUAGUCCCUAGAACUCCAGAAAUUGCAGGGAAGGACUUCUGCCACCAGCUGGAACAGUGGUGGCGCGUCUCCCCACGCGCCGCCGUCACUGGCGGCGCGUGGGUUCACGCGCCGCCGCAAGAAAAACACAGCAACAUGGGGCUGGAUUGACUUCUUCCCAUCAUCCUUUCGUCGCCGGCGGUGACCUGCAAAGCAAACCCCAAACACAGCAAGCAAUUGAUUUUAGUUUUUUGUUUUAGAUCUGCUUUUAAUUUUUUGUUUUCUCCGAUCUGCUCCUUCUUCAGAUCAUCUUCUCCCUGGGUCAGUUCGUUAGGGGCUCCGUCUUCUUCUCCUCUGCUCCGGGUUCUAGAUCGGGCGGCGCUGCAAAGGGGUCGCGGAUGUGGUUGCUGUUGCUGUCGUCCGUCCGGCGGUUGAAACCACAGUGGAGAUGGGCUUGCUGUCGAUGUUCAGGCGGAGGAACGGACCGAUCGGGGUCUGUGGGCGUCGCUGUUGAUGGUUGAGAGGAGCGCCGCCGAGAUGGAGAGUGGAUUAUGGGUCUGAGAACGGCUCUGCCCGUUCGCUGGUCGGUGGAGGUGAGGCUGUUCUGUUGGGUGACUUGGGGGAAGACCGGCGUUGAUGGAGAGGCUUGAGGGAAAGGCUUAGAGUGAGGGGAGUAUGUUCUGUCAAAGUGAAGGGGAGAUCGGGGGAAAGCAGAGGAGGCUAUUGAUGGAGGACCGACUGAGGAAAAGGGGUUGAACGACAGGUUUCAGAGAGGAAAAAAAAAUCAAAACCGGGGAAAAGGGGGGAAGUUUCAGUGGUGGUGUGGAAGGGAGAGUGAGGGCUGUUUUGUGAGGGUGAGGCUGGUUCGGUGGUGCUGCUUGUUGGGAGGAGGAGAAGGGGGUAUGGCCGGGGAAGAAGAGCUUCAAACCGGCUAGGGGCUGCUGUUUUGGCCGGUUCAGGGAGAAGAGAAAAAAAUUCAAAAGGUGAGGGGCUGGUUUGGGUGAGCGGCUGCGAGUAGAAAAAAAAAUCUUUUAGGUUUAGGGUUUUUUGUUUUGUGUUGUCUCUCCCCCCAAUCUCAAAAU